CCUACGGGAGGCAGCAGUGAGGAAUAUUGGUCAAUGGACGAGAGUCUGAACCAGCCAAGUAGCGUGAAGGAUGACUGCCCUAUGGGUUGUAAACUUCUUUUAUAUGGGAAUAAAACGUUCCACGUGUGGGAUUUUGUAUGUACCAUAUGAAUAAGGAUCGGCUAAAUCCGUGCCAGCAGCCGCGGUAAUACGGAGGAUCCGAGCGUUAUCCGGAUUUAUUGGGUUUAAAGGGAGCGUAGGUGGAUUGUUAAGUCAGUUGUGAAAGUUUGCGGCUCAACCGUAAAAUUGCAGUUGAAACUGGCAGUCUUGAGUACAGUAGAGGUGGGCGGAAUUCGUGGUGUAGCGGUGAAAUGCUUAGAUAUCACGAAGAACUCCGAUUGCGAAGGCAGUUCACUGGACUGCAACUGACACUGAGGCUCGAAAGUGUGGGUAUCAAACAGGAUUAGAUACCCUAGUAGUC
rnacentral:rRNA from 1 species